AGCCUAGGCUGGCUGCCUGAGAGUAGCGAGUGACAGGUAAGGGCUCUGAACCUUCCUGCGUGCUACCCAAGGAGUGCCUAGGGCUACCAGGAGGCCCAGGGAGGAACCUUGAGACCUGAGAAAGGCUUUUCUUCCCCGAGAGGACCACUGCUCAGGCUCAGAGGCCAUGGGGUGAAGUGCACAAAAAAGUGGGCGUCCAGCCAUGCUCUAAGUCCCCCGAAGAUGAAGACCAGGGAGCAGCUUCCUCCAAUGAAGCAGCAGCAAUCAGAGGACCAGGAGGCUGAAGCCCUGAGCCCAGCCAGAGGCAGGAUCAGCCAAGUCUGGGACAGGCUUCAAUUAUUUUAGGCAGAGCUUCUGGUUCCUGGGCCUUCAGACUUGGACUAGAACUUCACUACCAGCUUUCCUGGGUCUCCAGCUUGCAGAGAGCAGAUCGCAGAACUUCUUAGCCUCCAUAAUCACAAGAACGUGUUUGCUUCCCCUUCCACCAUGAUUGUAAGUUUCCUGAGGCCUCCCCAGUCCUGCAGAACUGCUUUGAAGAAGACCACUGCGUCGGUAUUUGUGAAAUGUUUUGAGCCUCUGGAUUUAAAUAAGGUGAAAUAUAAAGGAUCCUUUUCACUACUGGGCACGCCUAACUGCAUGUCUUCUAAACACUGCUUGUGAUGGUCAUUCAUACCAAAGGACGGAAACAGAAAGCACAGAUCACAAAAUCCUCUGGCCAAAUGGGGAAUCUGACCCUGAAACGAAGGAGCAGUGUCAAUGUCCUGAGCCCCACUGCCAGCCUCAGCUCUAUGAGAAAGGUGG
rnacentral:lncRNA from 10 species